CCUGUCAGAGUCGGUCUCUAAUACUCUAAGGUCCAGGAAAUGCUCUACGUCAGCCUCAUAUUAUAAAAUAUGUGGAAAGUUCUGUUCCUGGAUGGUGGAUAAGGGAAUCCCUUGAGAUGCACCAAGCGUUGCGGACGUCCUAAACUUCCUUCAAGAGGGUCUGGAUAAAGGGCUUAGUCUGAGCACUCGUCCACGUUUCGGCAAUUUCAGCCUUGACAAAUUCCAGAUGGGCUCUGGAUCCUCUCGUAAUUAGGUUUUUUAGAGCAGUUUUGAGGAUUAGAC